rnacentral:rRNA from 1 species
AUACGGAGGAUCCGAGCGUUAUCCGGAUUUAUUGGGUUUAAAGGGUGCGCAGGCGGCCAUUUAAGUCAGCGGUUAAAUCGUGGGGCUCCACCCCAUUCUGCCGUUGAUACUGGGUGGCUUGAUUGCGGUCGAGGUUGGCGGAAUUCGUUGUGUAGCGGUGAAAUGCAUAGAUAUGACGAAGAACACCGAUUGCGUAGGCAGCUGACCAGAUCGCAAAUGACGCUCAUGCACGAAAGUGCGGGGAUCGAACAGGAUUAGAUACCCUGGUAGUCCGCACAGUAAACGAUGAAUACUUGUUUUCGGCGAUAUAAUGUCGGAGGCAAAGCGAAAGCGAUAAGUAUUCCACCUGGGGAGUACGCCGGCAACGGUGAAACUCAAAUGAAUUGACGGG